UACGGGGGGGGUAAGCGUUGUUCGGAAUUACUGGGCGUAAAGGGCUCGUAGGCGGCCAACUAAGUCAGACGUGAAAUCCCUCGGCUUAACCGGGGAACUGCGUCUGAUACUGGAUGGCUAGAGGUUGGGAGAGGGAUGCGGAAUUCCAGGUGUAGCGGUGAAAUGCGUAGAUAUCUGGAGGAACACCGGUGGCGAAGGCGGCAUCCUGGACCAAUUCUGACGCUGAUGAGCGAAAGCCAGGGGAGCAAACGGG
rnacentral:rRNA from 1 species